CGUAUCUCUAGAUCCCAGCAUAUAAAGCAUGUUGGUCUGCUAGCUAGCCCGAGAUGGAUGAACGAUGAUCACAUGACAAAAAAGUGGUCUGAAUAACGCAGUACUGCUCAAAUCAAUCACCCUUUCAAUAUGCAUUGGGUUCUACUUUAAAUUUGUCAUUGUCUGUGAAUCUGUGUGAUGAGAUUGAGUUUGCUCGAGUAGCUAGCUAACGUUAGCUAAUUUCCUUCUCCAUGUCUCAGCUAGCAGUUGGUCCUGGUGUUAGGUGACCUGCACAUCCCCCACCGAUGCAACACCCUACCAGCCAAGUUUAAGAAGCUGUUGGUGCCAGGCAAGAUCCAGCACAUCCUCUGUACAGGAAACCUCUGCACCAAGGAGAGCUAUGACUACCUGAAGACACUGGCUGGGGACGUACACAUUGUCAGGGGAGACUUUGAUGAGAACCUGAACUACCCGGAGCAGAAAGUGGUGACAGUAGGUCAGUUUAAGAUCGGCCUGAUCCAUGGGCACCAGGUGAUCCCCUGGGGGGACAUGGCAAGCCUGGCCCUGCUGCAGAGGCAGCUCGACGUCGACAUCCUCAUCUCUGGACACACACACAAGUUUGAGGCCUUCGAAAACGAGAACAAGUUCUACAUCAACCCUGGCUCAGCAACUGGAGCCUACAAUGCACUGGAAAGCAACAUCAUCCCAUCUUUUGUAUUGAUGGACAUCCAAGCAUCCACAGUGGUGACGUACGUAUACCAGCUCAUAGGAGAUGACGUAAAAGUGGAGAGGAUUGAGUACAAGAAAUCCUAAACCCAAGGCUGAAAAGGAAGGGGUGCUGUCGUUCAGUGUAUCGUUUCAUUCCUGUCUACCUGCAGCUCCAACUACAUAACCACAAAAAAAAUGCUCUACCAUAACUGUUUGCUAACUUAACUCUAUAAAGAAAUGUAUAUUUUAUGUCAUCCGCAUUGGCAUGUGUUCCACCCACCAUGUGGUGUCUGUAAAAAUAAAUGUAAAAAAUGCAAUUGUCACACGCGUUUGCAUAAUGUCAUUCAAAUAAAUAUUUGGUGCCA